rnacentral:lncRNA from 2 species
CCCAAGUAUUACUCCCCCCUACAAAAGGAAGGCCCCGAGGUAGAGAGAGAAAAUACUGGGGGAGCUCGAGCAAUCCGCCGUCCGUGUCGUCGUCGUCGGCGUCGGCGAGGUCGUCGUCUCCGGCAGGGGGUGGGGGAGCCAGGUCGAGGCGAGGCGGGGGGAGCCCGGAAUCAGGAAGAUGACUCAUAUCCUUUGCCCUACAUCUUGAAUUCGUGUUUUUCCCUUGUCGCGAUCUCGUUUUUGUUCUUGCUUGCGGCGAUCCGUUCUUCUUCCUCUGUUUCUUCCUUGACUUCUCGCCGGCGGCGGCGUGGGGUGCACGCGGCAACCAGAGGGACCGCGACCGCGAGCGCGCGCAGGCGCGGAAGCCCAACGCCAAGGGCCCCCAGGACGGGCUCACCCCGGAGCAGCGCCGCGAGAGGGAUAAGAAGGCGCUGGAGGAGAAGGCCGCGAAGAAGGCGGCGCAGGCCGCGGGCGGCGGGACCUCCACGGACAACAAGAAUAAGGCCGGCGGCGCAAAGAAGCUAAAUUACCUGUUUGUUGAUUUGUUUGAUGUCAACGUGUAG